AGUGAACGCUGGCGGUAGGCCUAACACAUGCAAGUCGAACGGCAGCACAGUAAGAGCUUGCUCUUACGGGUGGCGAGUGGCGGACGGGUGAGGAAUACAUCGGAAUCUACUUUUUCGUGGGGGAUAACGUAGGGAAACUUACGCUAAUACCGCAUACGACCUACGGGUGAAAGCAGGGGAUCUUCGGACCUUGCGCGAUUGAAUGAGCCGAUGUCGGAUUAGCUAGUUGGCGGGGUAAAGGCCCACCAAGGCGACGAUCCGUAGCUGGUCUGAGAGGAUGAUCAGCCACACUGGAACUGAGACACGGUCCAGACUCCUACGGGAGGCAGCAGUGGGGAAUAUUGGACAAUGGGCGCAGGCCUGAUCCAGCCAUACCGCGUGGGUGAAGAAGGCCUUCGGGUUGUAAAGCCCUUUGUUGGGAAAGAAAAGCAGCAGGUUAAUACCCCGCUGUUCUGACGGUACCCAAAGAAUAAGCACCGGCUAACUUCGUG
rnacentral:rRNA from 1 species